UUGAAGCCUUUUUAUUAUAAGCUUCCCUGUACAAGUAAAUUUGCUAUUUUUGACAUUAUGUAGGCAUGGAUGAAUGCUGAUGAAUCAAAUGGUCGUGACUCGUGAGUGAUCCAGGCAUUUUUUGAUUCAUCUUCAUGAGGUAUUUCAAAACGUCUCCCUGUUAUGUGUUUCCGGGAUAGCAAAGGUUGGCUACUAAGCUAGGUAUUGUAUCUCCAACACAAUUGAAAUGAUAGAUCAAGAAAGGCUUUGGAUUUUCAAGCUCCCAAAAUGGAGUUAUGUGUCAUUAUUAUUUACUGUGAAGAAACUAGAAACUACUGCCUCAUAAAGGGGUAGAACAUAAAUUAGCCGCCAAAGUUGGAAAGAGAUUGUCAAGGAAUGAUAAGGCGCAAGAAUUACCUCUGCAAUAUUUACUAAAACUGUGAUUGAUGGUUUAGUUCCAUUAACAGAGAUGUUCAAUUGCGUUAGUAAAACUUGAAGGGGAAUGACAAAGGAGCAUGCAUCGUACAUUAUGCAAGUAGCCAAGUUUGAUGUUGUCCCUCAACACAUUCAAAUCAGCUUGCCAAAAAGGAGGAAGCAGUAGUUUAGUCGGUCAGCUUUCAAAUUUGGAUCCACCAACUUAAAAAUAGGUGAACCAAGAAAAGAAAAAAUGUGGAUGCACAAAAGAAAAACAAGUUUUAUUCCCAAUGGCAGACGAAAACUCAAAUCGAAAUGAUCAGGAAGUAGAGAUACGCAAUGCAGAAAUAUUUGAAGACUGAUAUAACUGACGUCUUAAAAU